rnacentral:rRNA from 1 species
UGGGGAAUAUUGGACAAUGGGCGCAAGCCUGAUCCAGCCAUGCCGCGUGAGUGAUGAAGGCCUUAGGGUUGUAAAGCUCUUUCGCCAGGGACGAUAAUGACGGUACCUGGAUAAGAAGCCCCGGCUAACUUCGUGCCAGCAGCCGCGGUAAUACGAAGGGGGCUAGCGUUGUUCGGAAUCACUGGGCGUAAAGCGCAUGCAGGCGGACUGAUAAGUCAGGGGUGAAAGCCCGAGGCUCAACCUCGGAACUGCCUUUGAUACUGUCAGUCUUGAGUCCGGGAGAGGGGAGUGGAACUGCGAGUGUAGAGGUGAAAUUCGUAGAUAUUCGCAAGAACACCAGUGGCGAAGGCGGCUCACUGGCCCGGUACUGACGCUGAGAUGCGAAAGCGUGGGGAGCAAACA